GAACUGCGAUAAGUAAUGUGAAUUGCAGAAUUCAGUGAAUCAUCGAGUCUUUGAACGCACAUUGCGCCCCCUGGCAUUCCGGGGGGCAUGCCUGUCCGAGCGUCAUUGCUGCCCUUCAAGCCCGGCUUGUGUGUUGGGUCGUCGUCCCCUCCGGGGGACGGGCCCGAAAGGCAGCGGCGGCACCGUGUCCGGUCCUCGAGCGUAUGGGGCUUUGUCACCCGCUCGAUAAGGACCGGCCGGGCGCCAGCCGGCGUCUCCAACCUUUUUUUCUCAGGUUGACCUCGGAUCAGGUAGGGAUACCCGCUGAACUUAAGC
rnacentral:misc_RNA from 1 species